AUAUCAUUAAGCGGAGGAAAAGAAAUUAACUAAGAUUGCCUCAGUAACGGCGAGUGAAGCGGCGAAAGCCCAAACUGGAAAUCUUCACACUGCGUGUGACGAAUUGUAAUCUAAAGGUGGGUCGCUCACCGGGUGGAGGCGCAGAAGUUCCCACGAACGGGACGCCAGAGAGGGUGACAGCCCCGUAUGUGGUGCCUUUGCCUAACGAGCCCCUUCCUACGAGUCGGGUUGUUUUGAAUUGCAGCCCUAAGCGGGAGAUAGACUUCUUCUAAGGCUAAAUAUCUAUGGGAAACCGAUAGCGAACAAGUACUGUGAAGGAAAGAUGAAAAGAACUUUGAAAAGAGAGUUAAAAGACUUGAAAUCGUUUAUAAGGAAGCGGUAGACAUUUAUUCUUAGCCGUGGAAGGAUGGCGCUGGCCUAACCACUGACCCGCGCCAGCAGUGCGUAUGGCUGUUAGGGCCACCUGGUGAAGCGACAGCCGGUUUCCGCGGCGUGAGGCAAGAUGAGGUUCCGCAUCCACACAAGCUUGGCCGACCUGGGCUGCUUCGGCAGUCAGUCUCCCUGUGCUCGUGGGCGCGGAGCGUGAGGGUCUUUGUGCGAUCUUGCCAAAAUGGUUUUUACCGA
rnacentral:rRNA from 1 species